rnacentral:rRNA from 1 species
AUGAAUUCGCUGCGUUUGUACUCUUUCACGGUAGUUUCAUUGUUAGGGACAUGGCAAGUUUAUUAUACCUACCAUGAAAAUUUUAUUUGUGAAAAUACUCACGGUAAAUUUGGUUCUUACUAUCAUGCCAAAUUUAUUUACUGUGGGAAGGACUUCUUAAAAAUUUCUCUCCAUGCUGUUUUAUUUCGCCAAAAAAUCACCAAAACGCCCGCUGCCCCCAAAUCCCCACCCCGGCCUGCAAUUCAUUCCAAUCGCCCGUGCGCCGCCCCAAAUCGCCAUCGCUGCCCCCAAAUCGCCCGAGGCCGCCGGUCGGAGCCCACCGGUCGGUCUCCUCCGCCACCACAUCUUCUCGCCGUCGCACCGUUCCUCACCUCACCACCGCCGCGCCGUUCUUCUCCUCCUCUUGUGCUCGCUGCCACCUAG